CACAACCAAAUGGUUCCUAGUCGGCUUCGUUUCCACUGGGCCACGACUGGAACUCCUGAAGGCCCUUUCCUUGAGGGAACAUAAGUAGCCCUGUUCCUAUUGUCCAGCUGCUACAGUGUUGCCUGUAAUGGUGCCUGUAUCUCUUUUCCAUAUUACCAGUAUCAGACAUGUUUCUUUUCUCCUCCCUGAUCACAGCUUACAAAAUGUCUUUAACAUUUCAGGCUGCAAGCAUUUUGAGAGCAAUAGGAUGUUUAUUUGCUUCCACUUACCAGCGGAUGUCAACGUGAGUUGGCUUAUAGGAGUCUGAGAUAAUAUCCAGUGUAACACUUCAGUAAUCGUUACUACCAAAGACUCUUAAAUGUUAUUAACACUCUUGUGAAACUGUCCCCGGCGCUAUUAAGAAGGAUGGAACUCCAGUCCAGCCCUUGAAGUCUUUCCUAGGGCUCCCAGCCUGAUGAUUGGCUCUUUUCCAGGCGAUUCAGGUGCAGGGGAAACCUUCCCUGAGGGCUUUGCACUACAUUACCCGGAACAACUUGCGCUAAGAGACAGAAACAGUCAUCCAAUGAAAAUCCAGAAAAGGCGCGUUUCCGGAAGGGAGAACCCGCUGUAGAGAGACUUCCGUCUCAUGGCGGCCAUUUUGGUUGAUGUUGCGUCUGUAGAGCUGGUGCGAAGCUAGUCUGUGCGGCGUUGGGAGCGAGGUGUCGGGCUUCGAAGGAGGAGGAGGAGGCUCUGCGCGCACCGCCCAGGGCGGGCCUGCGGGUCUGGACACCGCCGCCUGCGGGGAGUCUCGGUGCCGCGUCCCGCCCGGUCGCUGGGCUGUGGUCGGUCCGCUCCGGCCGGAGGCGCCGACGGCGGCGGCCGCGCCGAGGGACCCGGCCGAGUUUCUUGGCAUGGAAACGAGGAUGAAGAGACACCUUCUGAAUAGGGCAUAUUUGCACAAGGAAUGUCACAGAUGAGGAACCUCAGGGAAGUUUUGUCUCCUAAGAAGGCCCAGCCCUGCAAGAUGUAUGUCCCAGUGUUGAGAGACAUUUUGUGCUUGGUUGAACAGCAGGGAACAAAUAGGGAGCAGAAGGCAUACACAUGCAGGGCAUGUGGGAAACAGUUCUGUUUCACAGCAACCUUCAAGAGCUCCAGAAGCACCAAAUUAGAGAAACCCUUCAUGUGUGAUGUUGAGAGACCCUCUUUUUUUUUUUUUUUUUUUUUUGUGCCUUUUUGCCUUUUCUAGGGCUGCUCUUGAGGCAUAUGGCGAUUCCCAGGCUAGGGGUCUAAUCAGAGCCGUAGCCACUGGCCUAUGCCAGAACCACAGCAAUGCAGGAUCCGAGCCGCGUCUGCAACCUACACCACAGCUCACGGCAACGCCGGAUCCUCAACCCACUGAGCAAGGGUAGGGAUCGAACCUGCAACCUCAUGGUUUCUAGUUGGAUUCAUUAACCACUGUGCCACGACUGGAACUCCGAGAGACCCUCAUUUUUGAAGAGGUGCACAGCCCAUGGAUCAAGGAAUCUUAUCUACCUCCACAGAGAUUGGGAACAGCUUUGUAGCCAACAUGGGACUUCAGGAAGAGGCCACUAAUACCAGGAAGAAACAAAACGACUGUAAGGACAUUGAAGCUGGUUUUCACAGUGGAAAAUGUCGUCACAGCUCUGAAGAAGGCAGUGUCUUCUGCCACACAUAGAUACUUGUUCAGGAUGAGUUUUCACUGGGGAAGAGUUUUGUGGGUGAAGCAAAUGUGGGAAAGCCUGCAAACAUGUAACCUUAUUCAGCAUGAGAAAGUUAAUACACUGCAAAAAGUCCUGUUCAGCGCAGCCAAUGUGAAAAGUUUUUUACCUGCAAAUCCAAUUUCCUUGCACAUCAGUGCAAACUGGAGAAGAGUCCUAUGAGUGCAGUGAAUGUGGGAAAUCUUACUUAUACCAGUAAAUCCUAUCUCUUUGUUCAUCAGAGAGUACACACUGGAGAAAGGCUGUAUGAGUGCCAUGAAUGUGGGAAAUUGUUUAUCCACAGCCAGUAUCUCAGGGCCCACAAGAAAAUUUACACUGGGGAAAAGCCUUAAUGACUGCAAUAAAUGUGGGAAAUCGUUCCUACUAGGUGGAUACUUCAUAAUCAUGAGAGUUCACACUGGGGAAAGACCUUUUGAGUGCCAUGAAUGUGGGAACUUAGCUGCUGAAAUGAAAAGCUCAGUUCCCAUCAGAAACUUCACAGUGGAUAAAUGCCUUAUGAGUGCAAUAAAUGUGGGAAAUCUU